GCCCGGGUGGCGAAAUUGGCAACCGCAUACGCUUCAGGUGCGUACGCCGCAAGGCUUGCAGGUUCGACUCCUGUCCCGGGCA
rnacentral:tRNA from 1 species